rnacentral:rRNA from 1 species
GAUGAACGCUAGCGGGAGGCUUAACACAUGCAAGUCGAGGGGCAGCAUAGGGUAGCAAUACUCUGAUGGCGACCGGCAAACGGGUGAGUAACGCGUAUGCAACCUACCCUGUACAGGGGGAUAACCCGGAGAAAUUCGGACUAAUAUCCCGUAAUAAUAUCCGGAGGCAUCUUUGGAUAUUUAAAGUUCCGACGGUACGGGAUGGGCAUGCGUAACAUUAGCUGGUUGGUAAGGUAACGGCUUACCAAGGCUAUGAUGUUUAGGGGUCCUGAGAGGGUGGUCCCCCACACUGGUACUGAGACACGGACCAGACUCCUACGGGAGGCAGCAGUGAGGAAUAUUGGUCAAUGGGCGCAAGCCUGAACCAGCCAUCCCGCGUGCAGGAGACGGCCCUAUGGGUUGUAAACUGCUUUUCCAGGGAGAGAAACUUACGCACGUGUUGCGUGACUGACGGUACCCUGGGAAUAAGCAUCGGCUAACUCCGUG